UCAGUAAACCCAAAGCAAUAGCUCCAAUGCUCUGAGAUGUCACAAGCCAUUUCUGUGUGAAUGAGUAUAAUACCAGAAAAAGAGGGGGGUAUCCUUAGCUUUAUCUCUCUAUGGUACAGUCACUGAAAAUCAAAGGAAGGCUUAAAAUGGAGGAAAGCAAUUGCAUCAGAAAUAAGUUUAUUAAAGAUCUUCAGAAGCAGAAGAAUAUGUGAGGGAAAGACAUUUAGCUACACCUUGACAGAGGUUUUUCACUGAACUUCCUUCCGGAAUGCCUUUCUGGGAAUGUUCCUUUAAUGUGACAGAGGCAAACAGCUGCAGCCCUAAGUAGCAACUUUGUCGCUAGCUGUUCUUUCCAGCAUCUCUCUCUCUCUUCCACUUGUUCUCAACUGACACCUUGACAUUGGCCAGAGCUGCCACUUGGUCUGCCAAAGUCACAAUGUGACUAUCCAUCCGAAGAAACUUGUGGGGCCUGCUGUCUCUCCUCCCUUGCCCCCAGCCAUAAGUGUCUGAAUCUCAUCACCUCUCCCUGAAUGGCGAUGAGAUCCAGGGUCUCAGCACAGCUCCCAAGUGACUGUUCAAGGCUGUCCAGCAAGACUCCUAGGGGGACAAACCUGAGGAGUCAAGUGGAGUCAUGACCCCAAAAAGCCAAUAUCUCUUCAGGACUCAGGACCCUGAUGCUCGCUAGGUAGAAGGAGAGCUGCCCUGCAGCAACCAAUCCAAUUCCUGAGCAGCAACCCAGACAAGGACUGAGAAGGUGGCUCCUCUAGAAGGAACCUCAGAAGCACCUGCACCAACCAGAGCCCCAAAGACAGGACCUUAUCAGUAGUUGAGUGGCUGAAAAACCUGAUGGGGAGAAAAUGGGAAAACUCCAGGAUGGAAUGUCUUGCGGAUGUCAUUAGAGACUACCCACAAAAUGCAGAGAGGUGGAACCUGUAUUUGAAGGCUGAGAGGAAAUCCAGCAAGGACCCUGUGGCCCAGAGAACCUAUGUUUUACUUACGCUAACCUGCUUAAGCCAAUGUCUUAAAAGCAUUCCAGGGAGACAGUUGCAGUGACAAAUGACAGGCAAUGCAGUACAACAAACCAACACCCAGCCAUGUUAUGCAGCCCUGGACAAUAUGGGCUACUGAGAACAACUCCUCCUUGCUGUAUCCCCUGCAGUACUGUUCCCAAGGCCAAGUUGUUUAGUCAUCUGUGACUUUAAGCCUUUGGCAUCGUGCUCCCUGUUUCACAUUGCUGUUUUGUUUCACUGCUGCUUUAAUGAAAGGUCUCUUUGUAGUUGACGUAUGAAACAAUACAUUAAAAGCCAUUGUUUCAUUUUUUCUGUUGAAGGUUCAUUUGUUUGUUACAUAAUUUUUACUAAACUUUAAAAUUUAAUUCGUUAGGAGUUGACAGUUUAUUUUACACAGAAAAUAAUUGCUUGCACUAAUUCAUAAGGCUUUACAAACACACGUAGGCAAACACUGCACGUCCUCUACCCAGAAAUCUGCCAUGGUGGUCUGCAAGCCCUCGGAGCACUGGAGUGGUGACUUUUCCAUUUAUGAACUGAGCCUUGAUGGUGGAGGGACAAAGUAUAGGCACAGGGGUCCCAUCAGUUGUCCAGUACAGUUUAGGAACCCCAUGUGUGCAAAGCCAUCAACCACUGGAGCAUCGCCAAGCUUUAUAACCCAGUACAACCAUAUCUUUUUCCCUGUCAUCACAUCUCCAUGACAGUGGUUGACAGCAAGCCAAUUUGGCAUGGGGAUAUAGACUGGAAACAUUAUGGGGCGGCCAUCUUCCAAAUGGCAAUUGUGACCUGCUUGCCCAUGUAUAGGGCACCACAUGUUGGUAUGCUGCCACUGUAGUUUUGGGAUUAGUUCAGCCCACAUUUCCAAAAAGUUUGCCUUCCCUAUCCUGAAAUUCUCUUGCCAUUGCUGGUCAUCCUUACUCUGCAGACCAAUUCUUUCCUACCAAUCUGUGCUGGUUUCUGGAGCCCUGAAACAGCUCUGCACUCUGUGAAGCUGCACUAGGAACCAGUUCUCUAUCAUCAAUUGUUUGGUGUCUUCCUCAUCGGUGUCCCAUUGUAUAGCAGCUGGAAGAGCUGCUGCUGUCACAUCUUGAUGCAGCAAGCAAAGCCCCAAGUCAGAUUCAUCCCAUGUUGAGUGAUAGAGGCUGGUUGGGCUGUAUUAGAGGUUACCACUAUAGUGGCAUAGAGCCUUGCAACUGACAACAAUUCAACAAUGGUGGUAGCCCACCUGUAAAGGAAGUAUGAGGCGGACACAGAUGGAUCAUGGGAUUUUUUUAAAAAAAUGUGAACUAGGCUGAUUUCUGCUAUACAACCCACUGUGCCCAGUGCCAAAAAGAAAAAAAAAAUCCCAGAGUGCACACUGCUCAUCAGUAAAGUAAAGGCAUGUGGGAUGCCUUCUGACAAUACCAUGCCUUCAGUUUUCAGCAAACUGCUGUCGUGUGUACACAGUGGUGUGCACUGACAGAGGGCACACUUUCCUGUACGUGCUAUUACUGCAGCUUGUGUACUGUACGUUACCUGAUGCUCAGCAAAAAGCUGUAGAUUAACUCCC